CAGUCGCCGCGGUAAUACGUAGGUCCCGAGCGUUGUCCGGAUUUAUUGGGCGUAAAGCGAGCGCAGGCGGUUAGAUAAGUCUGAAGUUAAAGGCUGUGGCUUAACCAUAGCACGCUUUGGAAACUGUUUAACUUGAGUGCAAGAGGGGAGAGUGGAAUUCCAUGUGUAGCGGUGAAAUGCGUAGAUAUAUGGAGGAACACCGGUGGCGAAAGCGGCUCUCUGGCUUGUAACUGACGCUGAGGCUCGAAAGCGUGGGGAGCAAACAGGAUUAGAUACCCGCGUAGUCCCUGUCUCUUAUACA
rnacentral:rRNA from 1 species